UAUUGGUGUCUUCUUCUGUCUUCUGGUAUUCUUUGGUAGUGUACUAGUGCCACGAAGACCUAAACCGCGCGCACACAGUUGCUGUGAUGGACUGCCCCACUGUGUUGUCUGCGCAGAUGUUUCCCUUCCACGCUCUGAGUUGUGCGCUGUGAAACCAUUUGGUGACUCGUUUCUUCCUAGACUUUAUUCCAGCUGGAAUCUGCAAUUCUUCUGGAGCCUUGACAGCACAGAUGUGGUAUGUUGCAGGAAUCAGAAUACCUGCUUCUCCAUGUUCGGCUUGAAUCAACAUCU